rnacentral:tRNA from 1 species
GUUCUUGUAGUUGAGACACAACAGUGGUUUUUCACGCCACAGGUCCUGGUUAAAGUCCGGGUAAGAACU